ACAGAAAGGAGGAGAAGAGAAGAGAGGGAGAAGAGAGGAAGAAGGAGGGAAAACCUAGUGGGAGCAAAUCCCAACCGUUUUGGGUGAUUCAAAAGCCUAAACUACUCUAAAUCUUCCCCUCUUUCAUAAUCCUAGCUUGGUUUUGAGUGGGAGUCCUUGUGGAGAGAGAUAUUGGUCCCCAAAGAUUCGCCCCUUUUGAGAAGUGUGGGGUUUUGGGAGUUUCUACCUCCAUGGAAGCUUGAGGAACACUCAUUCCUCUAUUGUGUGAUCAUUGGUGGAUUGAGGCAAGAGGACCAAGUGGAGUGACCAACCCUUGGGGUUGUGUGCAAUUGAGGAAAGCUCAAAGAGCAAGGUACUGAUAGAGGUGAGGUUGAUCGAGGCAAGAAGCGUGAGUAGACUGUACCUGAUAGCUGGACAUGUUGAGUUGCAUGCCAUUUAGCAUUGCUAUAUGUAUAUUUUGAUGCCACAUGAUGUAUUUUGGAGGACUUAGUGCAUGAUCAUUGUAGUAGUAAUGGGUAUCUGAUA